UUUCUAUUUUUAGGGCAAGGGGGUCAUGAGGUUGAGAUAAGUGUCCCCUUUCUAGAGACUUCAUAGAUAUUAUAACAUUUAUUUUAUUACCAAGUUUAGACUAAUCCAUGAUAAAUAUCUUCUUCUUGCAUGAUGGAGAACACUCUAGAAGGUUGCCUUAACAUUUAUUUUAUUACUAAGUUUAGACUAAUCCAUGAUAAAUAUCUUCUUCUUGCAUGAUGGAAAGCACUCUAGAAGGUUGCCUGACUUCCCUUCAACGUUAUCUAACUAGAUAUAGAAGUAAAGUUGACAAAAUUGCUUAGGACCUGACAUGAUUUAGCCUAAAGUGAGCUCUGAUUUUAUAGCAUCAAAUCUAUCCUAUAAUUAUUUCCUAAUGAGCUAUUCCUUAUUAUAUGUUAAAAUGAUGUAAGGAACAACAAAGUGUAGGUAUCAACAGAUGAAAGGCCAAGUAGCGAGCAACCUAAAUUGAAUCAUGUUUCCACUAUCUAUCUAUUCAAAUCAUCAUAUAGUAAAUACAAGGACUUGAUAAACACUACAACAACAUAUAACAAACCUUGGUCAGAUAACCCUAAUCCAUGUAUUCCUUCUAAUAUAUAUGACACAUGAAAACUUUCACGUAGGAAUUGAAAAACAAAAAUCAGUGGUGUUUCAAGGAUCUUAUACCGGUGUUUCAAGGAUCUUAUACACUGCCAGUACAUAUAUUUCACGAAAUAUUUUAAAAUAAUAUAAACUCACAUAUUUCUCAUCAUCCGAAU
rnacentral:lncRNA from 1 species